CGAAUCCUACGUUAUUUUAAAAGGAUCGGUUAGAAAUGGCCUAAGGAUACAAAUAUGCCACUAUUUAUUUUUUAAAUGCUUGAAAUCAUUCUCAGAAACCUUAGUAAUAACGGUUGUCAUGAACAACUUCGACUAAAUGCAUCAAAUGUUACAAAUAAUACAUGCAAACUUAGUUCAAUAAAUUAAUCAAUUAAAGCGAGAACAAACCUUCAAAUGUACUAAAGAGCGAAUCAAUUAAGACAUGUAAAGCUAGUACUAGUCCAAUAUUACUAAACAGUAAGACUGAGCUACCUAUGGCCUCACACAGCUAUUUGAGAUAUUUGACCGUCCGAUGGAAUUAUCGACGUAUCAGAUCAAAAAUAGGCGACUCCCAAGCGCGUCCGCGUCUCUCCUUAAUCGGGCUGCUGCUCCGCAGGCUGAGCUACGAAUUAUCUCCUUCGUGGGGCUGAUUGGCUGAGGUCAAAGGCCUAGGUCGGCCCACCGAGGCAUAUUCCGAGCCCGUUCUGUGUCUCCAUCUCUCCCACUCUUCAGUCUCUUCGUCUCCGAGCCGGCAGCGCGCGCCAUGAAAAAAAUCCUUACUGCGCUCGUAGGUGCCGUGGAUGUACGAGAGGUGAGGGCAAGGUAGCGAGCCACACGCUGCCUACGGCGCGUGCCUCACUCCUUUGCCGCGGUGACGUCCAAGGCUUCCCAGCCUUUUCUCUCCCUCAGCUCUUAGGACAUGACGUGAUGGCGAUGACGCUGCCGGGACAAAGUUUAGUGCACAGCAAAUUACUAUGCACCGUGGUUGUGCAGUUCUGCUGCAUCCACCUUGCCGCCGGAAAGUGAUCCAAUGGGCGGUGUCGUCCUUCGAUGGAGGUGGUGGAGACAUGGUCCGAUGAAGGGAUAUCCCCAUCUCCAUCUUUAACUACAUCAUCUCCAAUCUAUGAUCACCGCCUCCUCACCACCGCGGCACGUCCUUCGCCCACCGCGCUAAGUAACCUUGAGGUCCUCUUCUCCUUCGUGCUCGAGAUCUGCUCCUGAUGAGCAUUAGCAUACAAUCAGUAGCUUCAUGGUACCUGUGAAUCCACUGGCAGCCUGGCACCAAUCAUUGGACGAGGUGGAGAAGAGAUGACUGCAACGAAGGCUGCCAAUAAAGAGCUGCAAGGGAUGACGAAGACUGUCAGGAUUGAAGAUAUAGAUAGCAUGCAAGACGGGAUGAUGGAUCUUAUGGAUAUGAGCAAUGAAAUACAAGAAACUCUUGGUAGAAGUGCAGUGCCCCAAAUGACAUAGAUGAGAAGGAACUUAUGGGGGAGCUGAUGCUUUGAAAGCUGAUAUGGACUUUGAAUCAAAUUCAGUCCCUUCGCACCUCAAACCAGACACGGAGAAAGAUCUUGAUUCUGAGCUUGUAUUAGGCAUGAAGAAAAAGAAGGUUGUAUUUUUGUUCCAUGUCAAUUUCGCCAGCAAUGCUUGAAAUCAAGUGUAGUAGUAAAUGAUUUGUUGUUCCAUCCUAAGGAUAAGGGUUUCAUACUCCUGCCCUACAGCCCUAUCUGGUACAUAGAACAAAAGAUUUAGCUCAAGGACUCGUCACCGGUGGCGCAACACAACGAUUAUUUGAGGGGAAAUUCCGUGCUGGAAUUCUGUCGAUGGUAAAAAUAAAGGCUUCUGUGCUGAAUUUUGUUUAAAACAAAUCCUGGACCCAAGUCUUGUUGGAAGUCAUGUGUGCCGAGGGAAAAUGAGGUAGUGGUUGUAACUUGUGGAUUUUUAAAGCCUGUGCAACCAAGCAGCAUCUUCACCACACAAGCUGAAGUAAAAUCUAAGCUUAAGUGGGUUACUAGCGCUUUCUGUACGUCUGUUGGCCCAUGUAUGUUGAUUGCAACGAAAAAAGAAGAGAAUAUUUUGCUCAAGGACUCGUGACUGGUUGCGCAGCCCAACGACAAAUUAGGUGCUGGAAUUCUAUUCAGCGGCAGUGGUGAAAUAAAGGUAUCAGUGUUAAAUUGUGGUUCACACAAAUCCUGGACCCCAAGUCUUGUUGAAUUGUGGCUGCAACUUGUGUUGAAUCCAAAGGCGGUACAACCGAGCAGUAUCAUGACCACACAAUCUGAAGCAAAAAUCCAAGCUCAAGUGGGUUACCGGCGCUUUCUGCAGGUCUGCCGGCCCACGUACGUGUUGGUUGCCGUGUAACAUCUGGCACACCCAUAUUCCCAGGUAUGCCCUUUGUAAUUUAUGAGUAAUCAAAAGGGUGGAAAUUGUUACUAUUGCUUCCAUACUUUAGAGAAUAAUAAUCAGAAAAACCGAACUAUUUCACUUAGGUAUCCCCAUACCAAAAUUCAGUUUACGUACAAAUUAUCCAGUCUCUCGAAACGGGUUCUCCCUCGGCUUUACAGAUUAAGCACAAACCAGGGUUCAUACAUCAAGCAAGCACAAUUUUGGAAAUGAGGCGAAAAAGGAAAAAUAUAAGCACAACCACAUCAACGCCACGUAGCUGCUUCCUCCUGAUGUGAGAGCAGCAUUGAUGAAAAUAAUUAAAUAAUUUGCUAUUCAAACCACGUAGAUGCUCAACGACAUUCUCCAUUUCCCUUGUUGAUUUAAGUCUACAGAGAAUUACCAAAUACUCACCCUGCGGGCUGCCUAUUUUCUUUCUUCAGUGUAUAUCUCCAUCUCUUCCUCUAUUUUCUUUUCUCCUUCCUGUGGGAAAAUGACACAGGAUCUUUCCCAACUCUUCUCCAUCUUCGGUGCCACUGCCUCACUUUCUUCUAAUGCACAUAAUGGGGUUGAGUUAACAUUUUAGUAGAGUUUUUGUUUGAUGGUACCUCCUGCGAUUGGUUCGAUAGUAUUUCCUUGUUUAUAUUUGAUCGUAUAAAACCUGUUACUGCUUCAGUUAUGGCAAUUCCAUAAAGAAAUUGGAGCAGCUUGUCUUGAGCUAUUCUCUAAAUGUUCCCCUCUUCGCUUUUUAGCUGGUAUACAUAGAACAAAAUAUUUAUCUCAGGGACGCGUGGCUGGUGGCGGUGGCGCAACAUAACAACAAACUGUGGGAAUAUUCCGUGCUGGUGGUAAAAAUAAGGUUUCAUGUUAAAUUGUGGUUAUUGCAAAUGCUGGACCCCCAGUCUUGUUGGAAGUCAUGUGCCCGAGGAAAACGAGGGAGUGGCGCUGUACAACCAUACAAGUCCUGUGGAAGAAGAGUUCAUAGCCUGUAGAACGAUGCAGCAUCUUGACCACAGAAGCUGAAGCAAAAAUCCAAGCUCAAGUCGGUCACUGGCGCUUUCUGUACUCCUGCCGGCCGAUGUACGCUGUUGAUUGCCGUGUAACAUCAGACACCCCAAUACUUCCAGGUACGCCCAUUUGUAAUUUAUGAGUAAUCAAAAGGUGCAAAUCCUUAGGUCAAGGCACAUCCGAUAUUCUGUCAAACAUCUGAGAAGGCAUUGAGCAAUGUACAAGAAGAUAAUUCUUUUUGGAAUAUUGGUGGGUGAUAAAUGAUAAUGAGACCUGUGUCCAUAUGGUUGUACAUCCUGUUAUUAGCAUGUCAAGUCAUCGCACUAGUUGAGUUGAAUUAUGAUGCAUUUCUUAGGUUGAAUUGGUAUACACACACCAGAGAAAGCAAGCAGGGGAUGAAAACGUUGUCUGAUCAGACGAUUGUUCUCUCAAAUCAGACGAUUGUUCAGAUUUACUCUAUUAGCUGCUAAAUUUGCUGCAGAGGGAAGUGGGCAGGCACCUAACCUGUCAGCUGAAACAAGUAUUGUUGAAAGUCCUGUGUCCGGGGAAAAUGAGGCAGUGCCUGCAACCUCUUUAAUAAUGAGAAAGUGAUAAAGUUAACUUGUCACUUGUAGCUAACAGAGAUACUUCUACAUGCAGGCAAAAUGCUGGAUAUCUUUUCCUCUCAGAGUUAUCAUACAGCCAAGCAAUAUUUCGACGUUACAUGUGCAGAGUCAUUUUGUGCAAGGUUGGAGAGCACAAAAACCAAAGAUAGAUACUAGGAAAGUGGUUUGUGUGCUGCUACGAGAAAACCAAAGAUGACAAGACAUUAACUUCUUUUCUUGUGGGCAUGUCGCUCCACAAGUAUCUUCCCAUUGUUUUGGGAAUGAUAGUGGGUGAUAAACCUGACAAAAAAAAGAUAAUGAGUGAUAAAAGGACCUGUUCUCAACAUCGUCUGGACGAACUCUUAAAAUCAAGGUCCCUGUGAAUGAAACUCGCGGGGAAGAAGACUCUCGGGAACAUGAACUGACCGGCAAGCUGGGCAUGAGGAGUUGAGGACCCCAUUGUCCUGGUCCUUGCUGUCGCCGUCGCCCUCUCUGAAGGGGCGUUGGAAGAUGCCCGCGGGAACGAUGACAUGAUUUUUUAACCACACAAUACAGUUGCAUGUAUUACACAUUUAUACUCCCUCCGGUCCAAAAUAAGUGUCGCAAUGUACUAAUCUUAGAUCAAAAUUGCGACACAUAUUGGAUCGAAGGGAGUAUUAAUUAAGAUAUGGAAGGAGUACAAACAGUCCACAGCCCUGUCGGGGUAAAGUACAACCAUAAGUUCAGAAACGACCACGAACCAAGUUCAGGAUUAACCAAUAUCUAGAGGUAAAAUGAGACGACCUAAGCUUUCUUGAGACCACUGUUUGCGUCUGCUCCUUUUUUCUUUCCUAUGGCAGCUGCUGCUGGGCUUCCUGUUUUACUUCUUCAGUGUCGACAUCCAUUCCUUUAUUUUCGCAUCUGGAAAAAAUGACAAGUUAAUUAUUCCUAGAAAUUGAAGGCAGGGAUGGAAUUCCCGCCAAUUUUCCAAUUCUCCUCCGUCUACAGUUUAGGCACUUAAUUAUAGGCUUAAGUUGCAUUAGAGUUUUUAUUUGAUGGUAUGCCUUGUGGUAGGUUUAACAGUACUUCUUGUUCAUUUGAUCAUGUAACUUGUGACUGCUUCAAUUAUGGCAAUUCCAUAAAGAAAUGGAAGCGGCCUGUCUUCCGCUAUUCUCCACAUUACCAAUGUUUCCCUUUUCGCUUUUGAGCUGGUACAUAGAAAAGAUUUAGCGCAAGGACUUGUGACCGCUGACGCAACAUAGUGACAAAAUUGUGGGAAAGUUCUGAGCUGGAGUUGUAUCCACCGAUGGUGGCUGCAACUUGUGGAGUUCAAAGCCUGUACAAAACGAUCGGCCUCUCACCACACAAGCUGAAGCUAAAAUCCAAGCUCAAGUCGGUCACUAGCGCUCUCUGUACGUCUACCACCGGCCCGCUUACGUGUUGAUUGCCGUGUAAGAUCAUCCAACACGCCAAUAUUGCCAGGAACCAUGCACGACCUUGCUUUGCGUUCUCACUUUGUAAGAAUAGCUUCAAGCAGCUGGCCAGUGGAAGAUCUCAAGAUAGGUGAUACCAGAGAGGCACCAAAGAAGCCAUCGUAGAGACUAGAGAGCGUAAUUGACAGUGGCUGAUUUGAUAUCGGUGUCGACUUGGGAUGCACCUUUGCCCGUCGAGAUCGAGAUCUAAAGAAGUAGAAGUUACAGGAUGAAAAACAAUUCUAGCACACUGUCAGCAAUCAUUUCAAUAAGUUACUUGUUUAGUUGUCGAACUUACUUUCUCUUUUCCCACAAACUUGGAUAAAUGAUUUCAA